GAUCAACGAAAAUCAAUACCCUUGCCACUAGGGUAUUCUCAUAAAUUCACAUAUUAAAAUUAAUAAAAAGUACAAUUAGGGACGGGUUGCCACAGUAUGCAUAUGAUUCAUGUGUAGAGAAUAAUCCUUUAGCCAUCCUUUCAUCCAUAUUUCAUUGACAACUUAAUUUACUUGUUGCCCUUUACUUUUGUUUUAAUUAAAUUCGUCCAAAAUCCCCCCAGUCAUUGUUUUUUUGUUAGUUUAACUUAGUUUUCAGUUUUAUAAGUUUAAUUUUAUAAGUUUAGUUUGUGCUUGCAUUACAAAGUCAAUCAUGGUACUAUUCACUUUACCCUUUAUUUUGUCCUUAUCAUUAAAACUCAAAGUCUUCAAGCCAUUUUCAUUAGUUUUCCUUAUUUUUUUUGGGUUUAUGGGUUUAAUUUUAACCUAGGGGUUUGCUAAUUGCUACGAGACCAAGGGUUGCUAUGAGACCAUGAGAUUGCUAUGGGUUUGUCUGGAGCUAGGUAAAGAAGACAGAGGUUAUAAGAGAAAAGUAGUAUUUGUAAUAAAAUGAUCAACAAUUAACCUAAUUAACUUAAUAAUAUAUCUAGCAACAUGUCUUCUUUUGUCAUUUUACAGUCACAAUAGUUUUAUAUAAAAUUUUACAGAACACUUUGACACUUUUUUUUUUACUGAAAGCACUUUCACCAUUAUAGUUUACGAAACACUUACCUGUUUUUUUUUUUUUUUUUUUUUGCAGCUAUUUAUUCUCAUAAUAUAGUAGAAGCAGCUUUGGAAAAAAAACACAACAAUUCCUAACUAGCUCUUACCCUAAAUUUUACUAUGGAGGCUAGCAACCUAGGGACAUCCCUUCUUCUUUUUUUUCCUAAAUGGUAAUCUGAUAUUAAAAGCACAACAUUAAAUAAAAAUUGAUUAGUUAAUGGUUAAUAAUCUUGUUUACAGGAAGUGUUUGAAAUAUCCUGAAUAUGCUUGAUAUUUCCACAUAAAUAUCUAAAAAUUUAGGGAAUGAUAUGGAAGGGGAGGGGGCAUGAAGUGUACUUUUCACCCUAUAUUCUCGAUAUUUCUGGAAAUCAGUCAAUUUCUUCGAUAUUUUAUUAUCCUUGCAGAAAUUUCGACAAAAAGUUACAGACUAGUGAUCAAGUUUUCUUCUUUGUUUCUUUUCGCAUUUCUUUCUUCGUUUCUUUUUCUAUUAUGUGAAUUCAGUUUUCAAUCUUUCAUAUAUUUGGAGAUUGUUGCAAUUGGAAAGUACUACGUAGGAAGGCCUAAUCAAAAUGAAAGAUGAAGAUUGUCUAUUAGUUUUGACUUUAUGAACUUAUACAUUCUAUAUGGUAUUAGUUUAAUUCAAUAAAACUUGUGCUACUUUCAUGAUUAAAGUUUCAAAUAAGUUACAGGCAAUUUAUUCAUUCUCGUGAAGUCUUCUCACUUCACAUAUUGUGGAUCCAAAUUUCCACAAUCUUCUCCUUUGACAAAAAUACACCUACAAAAUAAUAACACCUAAGAUUAAGGUCAAAAGCCUCACGUGCCCACGAUGAAUUUGGGGGGGGGGGGCUUUGGCCAAAGAAUCUCUUAUGCCAAAGUUUGAAUUCUGAAAAGAAUGUAUUUACAAGUUUGUGGGUAGCAAAUGGCUUUAAUUUUAGUGGGAUA
rnacentral:lncRNA from 1 species